GAAAUGCGAUAAUUAAUGUGAAUUGCAGAAUUCAGUGAAUCAUCGAGUCUUUGAACGCACAUUGCGCCCCCUGGUAUUCCGGGGGGCAUGCCUGUCCGAGCGUCAUUGCUGCCCUCAAGCACGGCUUGUGUGUUGGGCUUCCGUCCCUGGCAACGGGGACGGGCCCAAAAGGCAGUGGCGGCACCAUGUCUGGACCUCGAGCGUAUGGGGCUUUGUCACCCGCUCCCGUAGGUCCAGCUGGCAGCUAGCCUCGCAACCAAUCUUUUUAACCAGGUUGACCUCGGAUCAGGUAGGGAUACCCGCUGAACUUAAGC
rnacentral:misc_RNA from 1 species